ensembl:lncRNA
GUGACAUGACCACAGCAUUAUCAAGGCAGUUUCCAGCAGCUGAUGCAGAAAUUACAGCCAGGCUGGUGUUAUUUUGAUGACGUAUCUUUGUACUGAUGUCUCUGUGGAAGAUGGAACAUCUCUCCAGCUGAGCAGCAGAGUACAGGAGGGUUCCAUGUUCAGAGGAUGUUCUCCACUGGGCCUCAGGCCCUCAAAAACAAAGGAGGAGGACACACAGUCUGUUGCAUCGCAGCCACCCCUGUCUCCUUGCCCAGGGCCCAGCCCUUCCUUUCCACGUCCUCUGUCCUGCCCUCUCACCUCUGCCUCUACUUACCAU